rnacentral:rRNA from 1 species
GACGAACGCUGGCGGCGUGCUUAACACAUGCAAGUCGAACGGAAAGGCCCUGCUGUUGUGUGUUGCUCGAGUGGCGAACGGGUGAGUAACACGUGAGUAACCUGCCCUUGACUUUGGGAUAACUUCAGUAAACUGGGGCUAAUACCGGAUAGGAGCUCCUGCUGCAUGGUGUGGUUUGGAAAUUUUCGGCGGUUGGGGAUGGACUCGGGGCUUAUCAGCUUGUUGGUUGGGUAGUGGCUUACCAAGGCUUUGACGGGUAGCCUGCCUGAGAGGGUGACCGGCCACAUUGGGACUGAGAUACGGCACAGACUCCUACGGGAGGCAGCAGUGGGGAAUAUUGCACAAUGGGCGGAAGCCUGAUGCAGCAACGCCGCGUGCGGGAUGACGGACUUCGGGUUGUAAACCGUUUUCGCCUGUGACGAAGCGUGAGUGACGGUAAUGGGUAAAGAAGCACCGGCUAACUACGUG